GUUUACGCAUUCGUGGUAAAUUUGAAUAUUUCUACUCGAGGUUUUGAGGGCGUCAUUCCGACUCGAAGUUUAGGAAAGUACACAUCAAAGUUAGUGUAAAACUUCGCUUUUGUGAAACGUUUUCGAAAUAAAAUCGUUAUGCCAUGCAGAGGGAAAGGUCAGUAUUAAGUUUAGCUAUUUUUUAAACGUUUUUGAGUUGUUCUUGUUAAGUUAUUGCUGUUUUUUAAAACACGUGUGUAUAUUCAUUAUACGUAUUGAAUUUGAUUCCCAUUCAAGCGCUUUGUUUCAGCGCUCAGUUGCUUUAUUUUCUCAGUAUCUCUCCCUAAUUUCCUAGCAGAAAUGUUCAGGAAUACCCCAGCUUUGAUUCAUUUAACUCAUAUUUAGUUUAUCUGCAAUUUCAGGGCGAAAAUUUGAAGAAAAAGUGAACCAUGCAAUUUAAGUCGCCGACAUGGUCGAAAUGCCGAAGCACUUGGUAAGCAUAAUGUCCAUAAAGGCGUUUCGGGUCCUUCUUGUUGUUUGUUUCUCGUUUUCAAGCUUUCCCAAUACACCCAUAACGUCUUCUAGCAUUGCUUUGUAGCCUUAUGAACACUCUGAAUGAAGUUUAGUUGCAAUAUUGGUGAAACUUUUGUCCAUACGGAGCGAAUUGCUGACCAGUUAUUUUAGGCAUGGUCAAUUUUACACACAGGCGUGGCAUAUCAUUUUCGAACAUUUUAGCUUUUACAAACUAGUCGUUUAUGUACAAAUUGUUCUCUGAGAGGGAAGGCUAAGCUUUUUGAGUUUCUUGAUGUUAUCUAAGUUGAAUUUCAUCCAAUAUUUUUUGCGAAAUUUUGAGACGAAAUGUCCUCGUGGUUCAUGCCCUAAUUUUAUGCAUAGAUGCAGGCAUUCUUUAAAAUUAAAAUAUCGAAUUGGAUAACCAACACCCUGUGUGUUGACAUUGAAUAUAACUCUUCGUUGUUUUGAAACUAAAAAUUCAUUUUCCAAUUAUUUUUAGACUGCCUCAAAGUCGAACAAAGGCGAACGGUACAGAAAGACCUCUGCACAGAUUUAACGAAGAGUCGCUCGCCUAGCAGUCGAAGCAAAACGAGAAAGACGAGAAGGCAAAGGACGAAUGAGACCAGCCACCAGCUCGAUUCCUUUGCGAACCCACAGCAUUCGUCGUCUGAUUUCGUUCGUGCAAAGUUUGGAAGAGAUUGCCACUCAUCCAGAGACUGUAACGAAGGCAUAUAAUAACAUACUCGAACUGUUUGUGCCAACGUUAGAUAUUGAUAAUAAAACCAGAGAUACCAAAGAAGUGAUAUGAAGCGUCGAAGAAAUACCAAGCGUCGUUAAAGAUGUUGUACAUUUCGGGAUUCUCGUCGUGCGUGUUCGAAAGUGCGUGGGACUGGCCCUGAAGACGCUCAAAUGCACAAAAUAAAUUUGAAUGUGGCACAUUUUCCUUAAUUUCGCAAUUUAUUCAAAUUUUCUACAUUUCUUGGUAUUUGUGCAAAGCUCUAAACGAAAUCGAAAUGUUUGAAAUUCGGAAGUUUCUAUCUGGGAGUUUGUUUAUUUGAAAGAUAUUUGAAAUGAAAUUUCGAAGUUUACAUCACCUUGGUAUUUGGUUUAAACGCUAGGUAAAAUCAUGCCAGAUGAGUGGUCGACCAUUCGUCGACGUUCGGUGAUACUUCGGCUCGGACUUUCCCGACCUACAGUCGAGUUGCUCGGAUCGAUUGUCGUGAUCAACUAGCACAGGUGCAAGGUCUGGCCAACCUUACAUCAGUGCUUUUUGUUCGUGGCAUGAGAUUGGGACAGCUCGCCUGUAGGCCUGGAAAGAUCAAGCCGAAGUACCACCAAACUUUGAUUUGUGGCCGGCUUUUGUCUGUAUGGCUUUAUCCAGCGUUUUCCCUUUAUCACUUUGAUGUAGACUUUGUGAUUUUGGCUUGAAUAUCUUUAAUAUAAACAUUCUUUGAGGUUUAAUCUUUCAAGAAUUUCAUGGGUUUUGACUAGUUCAUGUGUUUCUCGCAGAUACUAUAAUUGUACUAAAAAUAUUGACCAGAAAAUUUUAAAACUGACCAAAACAUCAUUUGAGGUGUCGGAUGGGAGGGUCCAGUGGGCGUCGUAGCGGAUACCAAUGGAUAAAUACGGAUUACUGUGACAAUGUGUACCAUUGAAGAUACUGUGAACAUUUAUGGAUAAUUGUGAACAUUAAUGGAUUACAACGAACACUCAUGAAUUAUUAUGAACAUUAUUGGACAAAAUGUACCUCGCGAUCGACGGUUACCUACCAAUGUACCUUGACAACGAAAGCUACACGACGGCAACGAGAUGACUGCCUCAAGGUUAGAAGGUUUAGUCUGAUAACAAUUAAGCAGUUGUUUGUUUGUUAUCAGGCAGUAGUUAGCCUGCUAUCAGGCAGUAGUUAGCCUGCUAACAGGCAGUAUAUCUGUAGGAUUCAUACCCAGGACUCUAAUUUGCAUGUGGUCGGUGGAGUCUCUGGGUUAACCGGUUUACAAUUCCUGGCGGUCUGUCGUUAAUAGUACAUUUGCACGCAAGGUUGAUUUUCAUUCAGAUGUUUGCAUGCUAAUAAAAAUCGAGGUACAAUUAAUUUUGACCUCAGUUAAUCAGAAUUUCGACAUCAUCUGCAAUCGAAAAUCAAUCUUAAAGAGGUUAACAUUUGAGCUUUCGGUCACGUGGUUCGUUGCAUGCACUCGGUUCGGUUAUUGGUGGGUUUCAGUAAGUGUUACAAUCCAAACGAUGGUCAACAU